UACAGAGGGUGCAAGCGUUAAUCGGAAUUACUGGGCGUAAAGCGUGCGUAGACGGUUACAUAAGUCGGGUGUGAAAGCCCCGGGCUCAACCUGGGAAUUGCAUUCGAGACUGCGUAGCUAGGGUGCGGAAGAGGGAAGCGGAAUUUCCGGUGUAGCGGUGAAAUGCGUAGAUAUCGGAAGGAACACCAAUGGCGAAAGCGGCUUCCUGGUCCAGCACCGACGUUCAGGCACGAAAGCGUGGGGAGCAAACAGG
rnacentral:rRNA from 1 species